UACGUAGGGGGGCAAGCGUUGUCCGGAUUUAUUGGGCGUAAAGCGCUCGCAGGCGGCCCGAUGCGUCGUGCGUGAAACACCCCGGCUCAACUGGGGAGGGUCGUGCGAUACGGUCGGGCUUGAGGCCAGUAGGGGGAUGCGGAAUUCCGGGUGUAGUGGUGGAAUGCGUAGAGAUCCGGAGGAACACCAGCGGCGAAGGCGGCAUCCUGGACUG
rnacentral:rRNA from 1 species